rnacentral:rRNA from 1 species
UACGGGGGGGCGAAGCGUUGUUCGGAAUUACUGGGCGUAAAGGGCUCGUAGGCGGCCAACUAAGUCAGACGUGAAAUCCCCCGGCUUAACCUGGGAAACUGCGUCUGAUACUGGAAGGCUUGAGUAUGGGAGAGGGAUGUAGAAUUCCAGGUGUAGCGGUGAAAAUGCGUAGAUAUCGGAGGAAUACCGGUGGCGAAGGCGGCAUCCUGGACCAUUCUGACGCUGAGGCGCGAAA